rnacentral:rRNA from 1 species
UACGAACCGUGCGAACGUUAUUCGGAAUCAUUGGGCUUAAAGGGCGCGUAGGCGGCGGUGUAAGUUGGAAGUGAAAUCCCAUCGGCUCAACCGUGGAAUUGCUCCCAGUACUGCACUGCUCGAGGGGGAUAGGGGUCUGCGGAACUGCCGGUGGAGCGGUGAAAUGUGUUGAUAUCGGUGGGAACGCCAGUGGCGAAAGCGGCAGACUUGACCCUCCCUGACGCUGCAGCGCGAAAGCUAGGGGAGCAAACGGG